rnacentral:rRNA from 1 species
AGCAGCCGCGGUAAUUCCAGCUCCAAUAGCGUAUAUUAAAGUUGUUGCAGUUAAAAAGCUCGUAGUUGAAUUUCGGGGUUAGUAGGUUGGUCAUGCCUCUGGUAUGUACUGGUCUCACUGAUUCCUCCUUCCUGAUGAACCGUAAUGCCAUUAAUUUGGUGUUGCGGGGAAUUUGGACUGUUACUUUGAAAAAUUAGAGUGUUUAAAGCAAGCUAACGCUUGAAUACAUUAGCAUGGAAUAAUGAAAUAGGACGUUCGAUCCUAUUUUGUUGGUUUCUAGGAUUGACGUAAUGAUUAAUAGGGAUAGUUGGGGGCAUUAGUAUUCAAUUGUCAGAGGUGAAAUUCUUGGAUUUAUUGAAGACUAACUACUGCGAAAGCAUUUGCCAAGGAUGUUUUCAUUAAUCAAGAACGAAAGUUAGGGGAUCGAAGACGAUCAGAUACCGUCGUAGUCUUAACCAUAAACUAUGCCG